GAUGAACGCUGGCGGCGUGCCUAAUACAUGCAAGUCGAGCGAACAGACGAGGAGCUUGCUCCUCUGACGUUAGCGGCGGACGGGUGAGUAACACGUGGAUAACCUACCUAUAAGACUGGGAUAACUUCGGGAAACCGGAGCUAAUACCGGAUAAUAUAUUGAACCGCAUGGUUCAAUAGUGAAAGACGGUUUUGCUGUCACUUAUAGAUGGAUCCGCGCCGCAUUAGCUAGUUGGUAAGGUAACGGCUUACCAAGGCAACGAUGCGUAGCCGACCUGAGAGGGGGAGCGGCCACACUGGAACGGAGACACGGUCCAGACUCCUACGGGAGGCAGCAGUAGGGAAUCUUCCGCAAUGGGCGAAAGCCUGACGGAGCAACGCCGCGUGAGUGAUGAAGGUCUUCGGAUCGUAAAACUCUGUUAUUAGGGAAGAACAAAUGUGUAAGUAACUAUGCACGUCUUGACGGUACCUAAUCAGAAAGCCACGGCUAACUACGUG
rnacentral:rRNA from 1 species